UACAGAGGGAGCUAGCGUUGUUCGGAAUUACUGGGCGUAAAGCGCACGUAGGCGGCUUUGUAAGUUAGAGGUGAAAGCCUGGGGCUCAACCCCAGAAUUGCCUUUAAGACUGCAUCGCUUGAAUCCAGGAGAGGUGAGUGGAAUUCCGAGUGUAGAGGUGAAAUUCGUAGAUAUUCGGAAGAACACCAGUGGCGAAGGCGGCUCACUGGACUGGUAUUGACGCUGAGGUGCGAAAGCGUGGGGAGCAAACAGG
rnacentral:rRNA from 1 species